rnacentral:rRNA from 1 species
AUACGGAGGGGGCUAGCGUUGUUCGGAAUUACUGGGCGUAAAGCGCGCGUAGGCGGAUUGUUAAGUCGGGGGUGAAAUCCCGGGGCUCAACCCCGGAACUGCCUCCGAUACUGGCAAUCUUGAGGUCGAGAGAGGUGAGUGGAAUUCCGAGUGUAGAGGUGAAAUUCGUAGAUAUUCGGAGGAACACCAGUGGCGAAGGCGGCUCACUGGCUCGAUUCUGACGCUGAGGUGCGAAAGCGUGGGGAGCAAACAGGAUUAGAAACCCCAGUAGUCC